rnacentral:rRNA from 1 species
GAUGAACGCUGGCUGCGUGCCUAAUACAUGCAAGUCGAGCGAACGGACGAGAAGCUUGCUUCUCUGAUGUUAGCGGCGGACGGGUGAGUAACACGUGGAUAACCUACCUAUAACACAGGGAUAACUUCCGGAAACCGGAGCUACUACCUGCUAAUAUUUUGAACCGCAUGGUUCAAAAGUGAAAGACGGUCUUUCUGUCACUUAUAGAUGGAUCCGCGCUGCUUUAGCUAGUUGGUAAGGUAACGGCGUACCAAGGCAACGAUGCAUAGCCGACCUGAGAGGGUGAUCGGCCACACUGGAACUGAGACACGGUCCAGACUCCUACGGGAGGCAGCAGUAGGGAAUCUUCCGCAAUGGGCGAAAGCCUGACGGAGCAACGCCGCGUGAGUGAUGAAGGUCUUCGGAUCGUAAAACUCUGUUAUUAGGGAAGAACAUAUGUGUAAGUAACUGUGCACAUCUUGACGGUACCUAAUCAGAAAGCCACGGCUAACUACGUG